rnacentral:lncRNA from 1 species
GACGUGACUUAACCGUAACCACACAAAUAGGAGGGGUGAGAGUGUAUGGGAAGUGGGAGGGCAGAGAAGCCAGGUCCAUAGAAGAGACACUUGAAGGACACCAUGACGUAUGCAAUGGGCACAAAGGGCCUACCUUGGUGGCCAUUUAGGCGAAGAAGAUGGUAUGCUCACAACAUUAAAGGUUAAACCGUCAUAUAAAGUUUGUAGUUCAUGUGGCGUAUUAUCAUUUGUCAGUGGUUAAAUUAUAUCUUCACAAUAAAUUAUCAUUAAUAUAUUAGUUUCGUAUGAUGAUCGAAGAAAGUUAAGAUUUCAUCAAAAAAAAUCAAAUUGGUGUAAACUAGUUUUUCUAGAUAAUGAGUCAAGACGUAAGUGUUAUGCUUGUAUUUCAAGAUUCUGAUUAUAAAAUUGCUAACGCCAUUCUUAUCACAACCUUCUCUAUGGUACGUUGUCUGCUGGCAGCUUCCUGGAUUGUCUUCAUUUCUCAUGCGAAAGGGACAAGGUAAACUACACUACAAGUUUUAAAUGAAUUGAAUCAAGGCAAAUCUCAAAUUUACAUACCACCAAACGGAAGUGUGUACAUAAAGCACCACAAAUUAUAUAAAAUGUGACAUUUAACUCAUUCGAAAUUCAUUUUUUUUCUUUUUAUCAAAACCGAUUUUGUAUCAUAAUGACGUCUUUUGCUAAGUUAAACAAUUAAUCAUAUCUUACGACAACCAACAUAAACCGUUAAUAGUUUUGCUAAUUUGGCACAUAAAUUUUAGGUUAUUUUGCUUUCGAUUUUGAUUCUUUUCCUUGUGUAAGAGUUCAUAGGUUAUUGUCUUUGUAAGUUUGAAAUAGGAUCUGUAGACGAGCAAAGGAUAAAAAUGACGUCUUUGCUAAUACAAAUUACAAAAGAGGAAAAACGAACACAAAACCAAUCUCUCAUGCAUAAAUAAUAAAUAUCUUGCUACUUGAGAUUUAUUUAUUUAUUUUUGAAACGAACAAUGUUAUCUACAUUAAAUAGGUGGGAAAGUGAGCUAAGUCUCAUGAUAGACUAGCAAUAAUGUGAUUUAAAUUCAUCUUUAACGAAAGUCGAACCUAAGACAUCUCACUUAGUAAUAAAAAUGGAUACUGCUAAACUGUAAUAUUAAGUAACUGUUACUUGAGCUAUUAGACAACUGAUUAUAUCUUUUCUAGUCAACGUUAAGAUGUACUCAUCAUUAGCACCUCUUGUACUUGGUUAUUCUUGAACGUGAUUAUUGUCGUAAAUUCAAUGGGUGCUCGAUGAAAUAUUGCAAUGAAAUAAAGUCUAACCCUCCAAGUUUACGAUGUGCUUAGGAAUUUUGAGUGAAACACCUGAGAGUUCAGUACUCGCGCUGCUAGAUGGUCUACUAUGAAAUCGACCUUUUCCCCCUAUGACAUUGAUGGCUCGGCGGCUGCCCACUGUUUUCAGUAACCACACCGUUGUUUUCUUUCCCAUUGAACUAGAUCUUGAAAGUUGUAUUAACUUAUUUAUUAUAAAAAAAAAAUGAAAAGAUAGGAUCUUUUAUCAUAGCAUACGUAAAACAUGGGGUAAAUUACAUAAUAGCUUCUUAGGUUUGAGAUCAAUUACAACCUCAUACAACAACUUUAAAACAUUUCAUUUUCAUACCUCCAGUACCAUUUUAUUUCAAAAUAACACGUCCGUUAGAUUUUCCAUCCAUUAGUCUGUUAAAUGCUGACGUGGCUGCCACAUUUGUGCUGAUGAGGCUGCCACGUGGCAAAAAAAAAAUCUAAUCUUCUAAAUAUUAAAAAUAAAAAAAAAUAAAAAAUAAACCUGAAAGCUUUACCU